AAAAUGACUCUCGGCAACGGAUAUCUCGGCUCUCGCAUCGAUGAAGAACGUAGCGAAAUGCGAUACUUGGUGUGAAUUGCAGAAUCCCGUGAACCAUCGAGUCUUUGAACGCAAGUUGCGCCCGAAGCCUUUAGGCCGAGGGCACGCCUGCCUGGGCGUCACA
rnacentral:rRNA from 1 species